UACGAAGGGGGCUAGCGUUGCUCGGAAUCACUGGGCGUAAAAGGGUGCGUAGGCGGGUUUUUAAGUCAGAGGUGAAAUCCUGGAGCUCAACUCCAGAACUGCCUUUGAUACUGAAAGUCUUGAGUAUGGGAGAGGUGAGUGGAACUGCGAGUGUAGAGGUGAAAUUCGUAGAUAUUCGCAAGAACACCAGUGGCGAAGGCGGCUCACUGGCCCAUUACUGACGCUGAGGCACGAAAGCGUGGGGAGCAAACAGG
rnacentral:rRNA from 1 species